rnacentral:snoRNA from 1 species
CGCCUUUGUGUUGCCCGUUCACUUUGCUCGCUAGUGAAUGUGGUGUCAGAAAAGGCAGAAAUAAAUGCUUUGCGGCCUGUGCUUGCCCGGGAGUUCGGUAUCUCGGGUGUCGGAGCUGCGUAAGUGACAGGA